CUGAAUGAUGAUCCACGUUUAACACAAAUUCGACACUGAGUCGGAGCAAUACCCAUGACGCACCGUGUCCUGACCG
rnacentral:sRNA from 2 species